rnacentral:lncRNA from 1 species
UAAGCAUUGCAAAUGUUGAUAUUUUCUAAUAUUAAUUUACUCAAACUUUACAAAGAUUGAUUUUUGACAAAUCGUGCACGCAGAGUGAAAAGAAACGGGCAGAGUAUCACACUGAAACACGUCUAUAUGUAUCCGAUUCAGAAGAAAAAAAGUUAAAACAUCUUAUAAGAAUCAUAAGCCGAGGGAGUAGUAUUCAGCCGCUGAAACGCAUUGCAAAAGACAGAAGGAAAGAAAAACAUCUGGAAUGCCAGGACUGAAUUUUAGUAACUUGAAAGGAGGAUGCGGGCGGCGGCCCUACACGUGGUACAGUCUGUUCAACCUACCAACCUUCAUAAAUCGACUUGCAGUGGAGCAGAGUAGGAGCAGCAGUACUAGUAUCUAGCUCCUGACAAGAACAUUCUCAGUUAUUAUUGUUCGACAUUGAAUGAACGCCAUUGAAUCCACCAAGCAUUCCAUGCCCGAAACUACUUCACGGACGAUUUUUGGUUGAACGAUACCUGCACGAUGGCUAAUCCAAGGGCGUACGGCUGUUCAGAAUUGCCAAUGGAUGGUGCGAGGAGUCAUGUCUUCCAUGCCCAGCCUGCUGCGCUGUUGGGACGUUGACUGGCAUGCAUGAUCAUCGUCAGAUCAAACGGUGCCGGUCUGGAAUGGUCUGUUCUUGUUCAAGAUCACAAUCGGUAGCAUCACCUUCUUGCUCAAAAGAUUAAAGUAAAAGUAUUGCUAGCUAGUAAGCCCCAUAUGACAGAGAUAAGAUGAAAAAUAUUGAAGGAAUAAACCCACCCACUUCAGGUUGAAUAUCAAGGUCAGUAAUACAGCAGAAUGAAGAAGAAAAAUCAAUUGAACAUGACAAAGACAUGCUCCAUAGUUCGGUCGACAGAACCAGUACACUGUCUGUAAUCAGCAUGUAACCAAAAAUAAAGAUUGUCCCCUCCUAUGUACCGCUCACUGUCAAAUAGUGAAUGGCAAAUCGGCAGCAAUGGCUAAAAGAGACAAAUGUACAUACAACAACAAACACAACAGGUAGUAUAUCUCAUUGACCUCCUCAUCGCCACUCUGCUACUACUACUGAAGUACCAGUAAAACUUACCACGGGGUCAGGACAGGAUGGUCCAGAUACCUCAAGUACACAGAGUCACAGACCAGCAAUCAAAAUCUUCUUCAAGAUGAGCACAGAGUUGCAUUCAUACAGAUCGGAGAGCAGAGCAGAGCAGACUUGCACCACGCCUGGAGAUUCUUCUUGCGGUACUACUACCCAUUAAUUAUGUCUCUGGUAAUUGACCAUGAAUGGAUUUGAAUUGAUCCAAUGGCAAUGAGGUUUCUGUAUCAGGAAGGGAGAGCUCCAAUGGCGAUGGGUUGCUGCUGCUGCU